rnacentral:rRNA from 1 species
AGCCAGACUCCUACGGGAGGCAGCAGUGGGGAAUAUUGCACAAUGGGGGAAACCCUGAUGCAGCAACGCCGCGUGAGUGAGGAAGUAUUUCGGUAUGUAAAGCUCUAUCAGCAGGGAAUAGAAAAGAAGGUACCUGAAAAAGAAGCCCCGGCUAACUACGUGCCAGCAGCCGCGGUAAUACGUAGGGGGCAAGCGUUAUCCGGAUUUACUGGGUGUAAAGGGAGCGUAGACGGAAAGGCAAGUCAGAAGUGAAAGCCCAAGGCUCAACCAUGGGACUGCUUUUGAAACUGUCAGGCUGGAGUGCAGGAGAGGUAAGUGGAAUUCCUAGUGUAGCGGUGAAAUGCGUAGAUAUUAGGAGGAACACCGGUGGCGAAGGCGGCCUGCUGGACUGCAACUGACGUUGAGGCCCGAAAGCGUGGGGAGCAAACAGGAUUAGAUACCCCGGUAC